rnacentral:tRNA from 1 species
ACAGCUGUAGUGUAAUAUGGCCAAACACGCUUGAUUGUAAAUCAAGUAAUCCCGGUUCGAUUCCGGGCAGUUGAG